rnacentral:rRNA from 1 species
AUUGAACGCUGGCGGCAUGCCUUACACAUGCAAGUCGAACGGCAGCACGGGAGCAAUCCUGGUGGCGAGUGGCGAACGGGUGAGUAAUAUAUCGGAACGUGCCCAGUCGUGGGGGAUAACGUAGCGAAAGCUACGCUAAUACCGCAUACGAUCUAUGGAUGAAAGCGGGGGAUCGCAAGACCUCGCGCGAUUGGAGCGGCCGAUAUCAGAUUAGGUAGUUGGUGAGGUAAAGGCUCACCAAGCCGACGAUCUGUAGCUGGUCUGAGAGGACGACCAGCCACACUGGGACUGAGACACGGCCCAGACUCCUACGGGAGGCAGCAGUGGGGAAUUUUGGACAAUGGCGCAAGCCUGAUCCAGCAAUGCCGCGUGCAGGAUGAAGGCCU